rnacentral:lncRNA from 1 species
AAAAAUUAGCCAAGCACAGUGGCAUGUGUCUGUAGUACCAGCUACUUGGGAGGCUGAGUGAAGAGGGAGGAUUGCUUGAGGCCAGGAGUUGGAGACCAGACUGGGCAACAUAGCGAGACCUCAGCUUGGAAGUAAGGAAGGAAAGAAGGGAGGGAAGGAGGGAUGAAGGUAGAAAGAAACGGGACAAGAUGGACUCCUGAGGCCAUCCUAAUUCUGGAACACAAUACAAUGGCCUCUGUAUGUUAGGAGGGCUCAUUUGGCUUCUCUCUAAGCCAGCAGUCCACAUCUUUUUGGCACCAAGGACCAGUUUUGUAGAAGACAAUUUUCCACGGAUGGGGGCGGGGGGUGGGGGUGGGAGGGGAUGGUUUCGGGAUGAAACUGUUCCACCUCAGAUCAUCAGACGUUAGAUUCUCGUAAGAGGUGCCCAACCUACAUCCCUUGCACGUGCAGUCCACAAUAGGGUUUGUGCUUCUAUGGGAAUAUAAUGCCACACUGAUCUGACAGGAGUCAGGGCUCAGGUAGUAAUGCUCACUCACCUGCCGCACACCUCCUGCUGUGCGGCCGGUUCCCAAUAGGCCAUGGAAUGCUUAUUGGUCCACAGCCCUGGAGUUGGGCACCCCUCUUCUAAGGCAGAAGCUUCUACUGUCUUAGGAGCAGCGUCCUGGCCUCCACAGCAGGGAGAGAGCAGGAAUACCCAGCCACAGAUACUGGUCAAGAUAUUGAUCAACUUCCUACCAUCAUGGUGGAGGCAAGCCUGGAGGCCUCUGGGUGGUCAUCAGGUCACCCCAGCACAUUUUCCUGCCCCGGACUCCUGGCCACGCUGAGGUUGCUGUGAGCAGACACGAUGUGCAGGGUCAUGGAUGUGCAGCUCAAACUCCUUGACAAGCGGGAGAUUUAUUUUAUGGCCCAAGCAGUUUGGAGACAAAAUCGUAAGGUGCUCACCCAUCCAGUGUCUCUUCAGCCGGCACUGGGAGGUGUCAAACUGACCACAUUCGACUGCCCCUUCCGCCCGCAGAAUAUGGGUCUGCGUUUCUCUUUCCCUCUUGGUGGCCAAGAACUGUCAACAUCCAGCUGUGGCUCUGCACUCAGCCGCCGCUCAGCCUGCUCAGGUUGAAAGGUCAAACGUUGUCUGGAAUUGGCAGCCCAGCUUACUAGCAGCUCUUCUGUCUUCAGAGUGCAGUGAGGGGAGCUGUCAGAGGGCUGAGGCAAGGACCAGAGAGGGAACUCCUGCGACAGAGAAAGCUCAGCCCUGGUUAUGUUCUGGAGGGAGCAUAGCAGGGUCUGUCCCAGGAACUUUAUUAGUUAGCGGUUAAGAUCCUCAUCCACAGAAAAGCCGGUAGGAAUUAGCCAGGUGGUGUGUGCCUAUGGUCCCAGCUACCCAGGAGGGUGAGGAGGGAGGACUGCUUGAGCCCAGGAGGUUGAGGCUGCGGCUAGCUAUGAUUGUGUCACUGCGCUCCAGCCUGGGUGACAAAGCAAGAUCCUGACUCAAAAAAAAAAAAAAAAAAAAAAGGAAGAAAGAAGAAAGAGAGAGAAGAAAGAAAGGAGAGAAAGAGAAGGAAGGAAGGAGAAAGGAAAGAAGGAAGGAAGAAAAGGAAGAAAGAAUGACAAAGAAAAGAAAGAAAGACGAAAAGGAAAGGAAAAGAAAAGAAAAAAGAAACAAAAGCAGGAAAGUGAGGGGAGAGGGCCAGGAAGACAGAAGACAGGAUGGGCAAGAAGGGUGGGAAGGAUUCCCACACCAGAUUCAGGAGUGGCUCUGCAUUGGGAAAUCCAUCUACGACUGCUGGGGACUUGGUUUUGCAAACAUGCACAGAGAAACCUUCAUCCACCUCUGUGCAAUGUUGGACUGAAGUAGAAAUGAGCCGCUGUUUUCUGGAAGCACCCCAUUUCUUUGAGCUGAUCUUCUCUAAUAAUGAAUUCUGGUGAAGCCUGCCAUUCACAGCACCCUGCCCUCCCAUCUGUAGGAGGUGGGAACAGGACCCAGGCCAGUUGAUCAGAGAGCUCCCUUGCCCUGGGAUGAGCAUGUGACCCAGAUGUCUCAAUCAUGGGGAAGAUCCUCUUGCCUGUUAUAGCCACUAUGCUGGAAGAACAGGAUGUGGGCUUGCUGGCCGCCAUCUUCCAGUCCACGCUGGGAACCCAUCUGCAGGAGGAGGGAAGGAGGACAACCCAGUUUGAGGGAGCAUAUGGACAGCAGCUAUAGAAGGCUCCAUAUGUGCCCAGUGCUAGAUCCACCCCAUCCCUUCCUGUUCCAUAAAUCCAUACAUCUUCUCUCACUUUUGCUUACCCUAGUUUGAGUUACAUUUCUGACACCUGCCACCAUAAAAGCCCAAAUGAUUACAGAGAAUAUUUGGCUACAGGAAAGACCCUGCAGUCUGUGAAAAAAGAGGCUGCUGGUGCAUAGUCAUCGUAGACCAGUGCAAAGAGUGAAACAGAAACAUCCAGCUUAAUCUGCAAAAGCCUUUUUGGAUCCUUGAGAGGCGCUCAUUAACUUACAGCAAAUUGGUGAGCUGAUACUCUUCUUUCAUCCAGGUGAGUGCAUUAACUAGGUUAAUGUUCCUGUCUCAAGGGACUGCUGUAGGUUAGGGUGAAUGAAUGAAAGAAGCAAGUUUUUAAACAGGAAAAAGGCUGCAGGGAAGUUGAGGUGACAAGCAUCGUUUCACCCCCAAUGGAAGGUGAGCUUGUCUGUUAGGUCCCAGGGACUGAAUUGGAGUUCCGUGGUUAGGGAAUGACCCAUCUCAACAAGCAACUUCCAUCAUCCUUCCAUGGGGAUCUGAUUAAGGUCUUCUCCAGAAGGAGAUGGCCUCGUGAGUUGGGGCUUUUUAAUCUCCCUGUCCCUCCUCUAGAAGGGCAUUGCUACUGGCCUUGCCCUGCCAAGUCUUCAGUCUACAACAACACUGCCCGGCUUCAGACACAGCCCAGAUCCUUCCCAGAUCCUUCCCAGACACAGCCCAGAUCCUUCCCAGACAAAAAGUCCUUCCGACUUUUUGCCCUUUCGGCCCAGCCUUCCCUAUCACUUAUGCUGAAAUUGGGAACGUUUCCCAAACCAACAAUUUCCCAGUCCACAAUGUUCCCUUGCUGAGUGUCCCCACAGGAGAGACAGGCAGCCUGAUAAAUAAAACCAGUCAUAAAACCUCCCUGCCUUAGCAAAGGGACUGCUUUGCCAGGCUACCGUCACAUAGCACUCCUGUCUCCCGUUUGACUUCAUAUAGUGAAAAUUGUCUAAAAGAUAAGGCAGGAGCUCUGGUUGACACCCCCCCUGCCCCCGCCUCAUAGAUCUCUCUCUAGAAGCAUUGGAAGAGGCCGUCUCAAAAAAGAAAAAUAAAAUAGAAGCAUUGGAGGAAAGAUGUGGUUUGUAGUGAAACAAAUUGGAAGUCAAGCUCAGCCUCAACCACUUACUUGCUUCUGACCUUGGCAUGAAGUUGCAGAAGCUGACCUGGGUCCUAACUGUAAAAUGCAGAGGAACUCUAUCCAUGAGGAAGCUUUGUGAAGUCGAUUCAUUGCUAAUGUCCCUGUAGUGUCCACCACAGGAAACAUUACUAUUUGGGUUUUGUGACCCAGGAAUCCAUAUUUACCUGGCGGCAACGACACAGCCCUCACCUUUCCAGACCUCAUCUGGUGGCCUUGUAAUCCUGGAGCUGAAGCUGCCUACACACAAGCAAUCGGUCGCAGUGUAUCCGUGCAGGGUCCCAACCCACUCCAGGAUUCAUUUCGGGAUGGCUUCCCCUCCCUCAGCCAGGUCUCCGGCCCCGUUGCUCUGCAUGCUUGCCCAUCUCCAUCUCCACGGCGAUCAUGUGUUUGCAGGGAGCCAUCAAUAGGAAUCCUGCUUUGUGUAGUUCAGUGCCUGCUGCCAAGUCAGAGCUGUGACCUCAAUGAAAGUGGCCCAGCCACAGCAAACCUCAGUUUCCAUAACAGUCCUGGGAUCCAAUGUGGCUUUCACACUACAUGUCACUUCACUCUGUUAUCUCUGACAGAAAACCAACUCAAACUGGCUUAAGCAAAAAGGGUACUCACUGGGCCAUGUAACCAAAAAGUGUAGGCAUACAUGUGGCUUCAGGAAUGGCUGGAUCCAGGCACUCACAUGUGGCAUCGGGAGUCCCUCUCCUGGCUGUUGGUUUCAGUUUUCUCUGCAGGGGUUUCAUUCAAGCACUGGUUCCCUCCUCAUAGUGGCAAGGUGGCUGCCCAGGACAAGAGGCUUAUAGCCACGGGCUCAGCUACUUAAGGAUAAGUUCCAUCAGAAGCCCAAGUUGAGGCCGGGCUUGGUGCUCACACCUGUAAUCCCAGCACUUUGGGUGGCCGAGGUGGGUGGAUCACUUGAGGUCAGGAGUUCGAGACCAGCCUGGCCAACACAGUGAAACCCUGUCUCUACUUAAAAAAAAACAAAACAAAACAAAAAAAAAAACCAUGAAAAUUAGCUGGGUGUGGUGGCACGUGCCUGUAAUCCCAGCUACUUGCAAGGCUGAGGCAGGAGAAUCACUUGAACCUGGCAGGCGGAAGUUGCAGUGAGACGAGAUCACGUCAUUGUACUCCAGUCUGGGCAACAGAACGAGACUUCGUUGGCAAUGACUGGGUCAUCUGUCCAGUCCUGAACCGGUCACUGUGUCAGGUAGAAGCAUUGUUUGAUUGGCCAGGCCUGGGACACACGGCCAUCUCCAGACCUAGGAAUGGCAUCAUCUCUACCCAAACCCCGUGAACCAAGAGUUGGGGAGGAGCAAAGCUUCAGAGAAAACUCUGGGCCCUGUCAUCAAGCAGAGGAGGAAAGGAGGCCACACAGACUGAGACAUCAAGUACCCACUGUGCCCUCACCACCAGCUCCCGCCCUGGCCAGUGCACUCCUGGACCAUCUCUCCUCCCCGUCUUGUUCACAGUCACCCUCUCACCCCAGCAGAGAUCAGGCCAGGGUACUGGUGGCAAGUGAGUGAAGGGUUUCAGCAAGGGGGUCCCCACCUUCCAGGCACAGUGUAAGUGGACCCCCCACACUUGGGGGCUCUCCUGGGUUGCACAGUGUCCUCUGAAAAUUCACAUCCACCUGGAACCUGCAAAUAUGACCUUAUUUGGAAAUGGAGUCUUUGCAGAUGUUGUCAAGAUAAGAUGAAGUCAUACUGUUUUAGGAUGGGCCCUCUAUAUGGCACGACUGGGGUUCUUAUACGAAGAGGGACCCUGGCACACAGAUGCAUACAGGGAGAGUGCUGUGUGAUGAGAAAGGCAGAGAUUGCAGUGAUGCUGCCACCAGCCAAGGAGUCACCAUCAGCCAGGAGAUGGGCAUGGAUCUGAUUCUCCCUGGGAACCUCCAGAAGGAGCCAACCCUGCCAACACCUUGGUUUUGGACUUCUGUUCCCCGCAACUGUGAGACAAUACAUUCUGUGGUUUUAAGCUUUAUGAUAAUUUGUUACUGUAGCCCUGGGAAAGGAAUACAAGGGUAGACAGACACUGAUCAAGUAAGCAAACAAAUGUGAAAUUGCCCUGUGACAAGGGAGGUGCGGGGUGCCUGUGUUGGGGAAGAAUUCUCUGAGACUUGAAGUCAGAGAAGGAGUUAGCUAAUGGGGCCGACAGGGUUCUGCACACGCAGCUCACGGCCCAGAUCUUGUUGGCCAAGUGUUUUUGCAGGGAUUAGGAACUAAGAAUGGUUUUGCAAGAAGAACAUCACAGGCUGAGGGGACAGCAUGGGCAAAGGCCAUGAAGUGGGAGGCGCCCUCUGUGAAACCAACAAGCUUUCAGCCACGUGGGUCUCUCUGACGCGUUGCCUCAGCCACAGAGGGCUUUAAAAAGCCCCGAAACUGGACAGGUGUCACUGCCUGUGGCAGUAGCGGCCAUUUGGCGCCUGUGGUUUCAACUCCACCCGUUUCACAUGUCUAUGUUACCAGACUGGCCCCUGAAGGGGAUCUGUGUGCCAGGCCCUGACCUGCCGGGCUUUGGAAACAUCCUCGACAGUGUCCCCUGACCUGCGCCCCGCCUUGUGGAGUGAGGCCUGGUUGCCCAAGCUGGCUGGGCCGGGCUGUUUGUUGCUUCCAACAAACAUAGGAGAGAACGUAUGGCUGCUUUUUAUUGCCAGUGAGAGUUCCGCGAGGCCUGGCCCGAGAUGUGGCUGGCGUGAGGGGUCCCGGACCUGCUGUGCUGGGGACGCACCCAGUUCUGUGUCGCUUGGUCCAGUGAGGACUCGAGCCCCUUGGAGGCGGGGCCUCGGGCUGCAGGGGCGGGGCCCCGAGCCGCCUGGGGGUGGGGCCUCAGGCUCUUUGGGGGCGGGGCCUCAAGCUGUCUGGGGACGGAGCCUCCGGCCGGCUGGGGGCGGGGCCUCAUGCCUAAGGGGCGGGGCCUCGAGCUUUCUGGGGGUGGGGUCUCAAGCUUCAGGGUCGGGGCCUGGAGCCGCCUGGGGACGGGGCGAUCUGUUGGGGAGGAGGUUCUCGAACUGCUGAGGAGGAUCGCAGUGCUUUUGCUUCCUCUAGGAGACCAGCUGCACAGGCUGGAACAUGCCAUCUCUAUGCCUGUUUUCCCGUCGAUAAAUCCAGAGACAUUACUCUCAUCAUUUCUUCCUCUGUACACAAUAUUCAUAUAUGUAACCCCUUGGUAAAGCAGUUGUAAGAAUUAAACAAGAGGAAUUGCUCUUUCAUUCAGCAAAUAUUUUUUGAGCAGCUACUAGAUGCCAGGCACUGUUUUAGACGCAAGUGAUACUUCAGGAAACAUAAUCAGAC